GAAUUCCAGAUGGCUGGUGGUAAGACUGGGAAGGACUCCGACAAGGCCAAGACAAAGGCAGUUUCCCGAUCCCUCAGAGAGCUGGCUUGCAGUUCCCUGAAAUCUAGGACAACCAGCCAUGGACUACGGCAGCCAUCCUGGAGUACCUCACCACAGAGGUACUUGAAUUGGCAGGAAAUGCAUCAGAAGACAUAAACAUAAAACAUAUCACCCUUGGUCACUUGCAACUUGCUAUUUGUGGAGAUGAAGAGUUGGACUCUCUCAUCAAGGCUAUAAUUGCUGGUGAUGGUGUCAUCCCACAUACCCACAAAUCGCUGAUUGGGAAGAAAGGGCAACAGAAGACUGUUUAAAGGAUGCCUGGAUUCCUUAUUAUCUCAGGACUCUAAUACUCUUAACAGCGGUCCAGUGUUGGUGAUUCCAGGGGACUGUAACUUUGUAAAAACACACAAUUUUGCCUUUUUGUAAUUCUAUUUGAGCAAGUUGGAAGUUAAAUUAGCUUUCCAACCAACCAAAUUUCUGCAUUCAAGUCUUAACUAUAUUUAAGAGUUAUGGUGGCUUCAAAGAAGCUACUGAUUCUGAAGUAGUGGGUUUUGAUUGAGUUGACUGUUUUUAAAAAACUGUUUGAAUUUUAAUUGUGAUGCAGAAGUUAUAGUAACAAACAUUUGGUUUUGUACAGACAUUAUUUCCACUCUGAUGGAUAAGUUCAAAAGAUUAUAUCCC